CUCUAGUAGCUUAAACAUAAAGCGCCGGUCUUGUAAUCCGGAGACUGAAGGUUCGACUCCCUCCUAGCGCCAGAAAAAGGAGAUUUUAACUCCCACCCC
rnacentral:tRNA from 1 species